rnacentral:ribozyme from 13 species
AGAUGAAAGCAAAAAGACAGAGGAGUCAGUCCGAAUCCGAAUUCUUUUCGUUGGUGGGGAUCUUAUUCCCUCAUUUUCUUCUUCUUCUUGGUCUUUUUCCUUCUCUUCUUCCCCAA